rnacentral:rRNA from 1 species
AGUGAACGCUGGCGGUAGGCCUAACACAUGCAAGUCGAACGGCAGCACAGUAAGAGCUUGCCCUUACGGGUGGCGACUGGCGGACGGGUGAGGAAUACAUCGGAAUCUACUUUUUCGUGGGGGAUAACGUAGGGACACUUCCGCUAAUACCGCAUACGACCUACGGGUUAAAGCAGUGGAUCUUCGGACCUUGCGCGUUUGAAUGAGCCGAUGUCGGAUUAGCUAGUUGGCGGGGUAAAGGCCCACCAAGGCGACGAUCCGUAGCUGGUCUGAGAGGAUGAUCAGCCACACUGGAACUGAGACACGGUCCAGACUCCUACGGGAGGCAGCAGUGGGGAAUAUUGGACAAUGGGCGAAAGCCUGAUCCAGCCAUACCGCGUGGGUGAAGAAGGCCUUCGGGUUGUAAAGCCCUUUUGUUGGGAAAGAAAAGCAGCAGGUUAAUACCCCGCUGUUCUGACGGUACCCAAAGAAUAAGCACCGGCUAACUUCGUG